GAUGAACGCUGGCGGCGCGCCUAAUACAUGCAAGUCGAGCGAACAGACGAGGAGCUUGCUCCUCUGACGUUAGCGGCGGACGGGUGAGUAACACGUGGAUAACCUACCUAUAAGACUGGGAUAACUUCGGGAAACCGGAGCUAAUACCGGAUAAUAUAUUGAACCGCAUGGUUCAAUAGUGAAAGACGGUUUUGCUGUCACUUAUAGAUGGAUCCGCGCCGCAUUAGCUAGUUGGUAAGGUAACAGCUUACCAAGGCAACGAGGCGUAGCCGACCUGGGAGGGUGAUCGGCCACACUGGAACUGAGACACGGUCCAGACUCCUACGGGAGGCAGCAGUAGGGAAUCUUCCGCAAUGGGCGAAAGCCUGACGGGGCAACGCCGCGUGAGUGAUGAAGGUCUUCGGAUCGUAAAACUCUGUUAUUAGGGAGGAACAAAUGUGCAAGUAACUAUGCACGUCUUGACGGUACCUAAUCAGAAAGCCACGGCUAACUACGUG
rnacentral:rRNA from 1 species